ensembl:lncRNA
CAGCUGGACUCUCAGUGGAAUCGCACUCAGACACCAACUGGCUGAUGGGAACAUGACUUUUUUGCUGGAUAAAGAUGAUGUUGGAAAUGUCACCUGCCACGUGUACAAUCAUGUUAGCCAUAAACGCAAGACCACUGAACUACACCAGUGCCCUGACUUGGUGUUUGUGUUUGUGUGGGUUUUGGAGGUCAUUGCUCUGCUGUCAUUGUUAGCAGGCUUUCUCAUCUGUGGCAGAAUCGACAGAAAACAGAGCACCAAACAGCCCUAAAGAAGAGCAGAAAGUAAGCAGUAGGAAGUGUUGGAGGCUCUGUACACCAACCUGGAUCACAAAAAGGACAUCGUUCAAAUCCCAUGUUGUAGAUUAUUUCAGCGAGAUGUGUGUUUAACUUUUAUUCUUUCUAAACUAUUUUAAAUAAAAACGAUUUUCUCAUAGAUUUGCAUGGUGGAAUCAUCUCACAGUUUGAAUUCAAAUAUUAGCUUUACAUGGUGAAACAUUCCUGCAACUUUAGUUGCUUGAAACCUACAUGAGACCAAAUUGCACUUGGGUUGCAUAACGUGAAGAAGCCCUGCAACUCACAUGAAACUCAGCCACAAGUCAUCUCAACUUUCAGAGAAAGUUUCAUGGAGCAACCGAAUAAAAUGCUGUUAAUGCAUGGCGAUUUGAAGUGACUCAUUCCACCUCAAUAGUGGACAGGAAAAAGCUAAACAGGAGAUGGUUUAUUGGGCAACUGAAAAAGACUAACUCAAGUUUGGAAGUUUAUCAUUUUUAAUAAAUGUUCUCUGAGCCACGACAAGUGAGUUUCUCAAAGUUAACUUUUCUGCCAACAGCUGCAUCAAUUAGCCAGCUAAUGCAAACAGCUGGUUAAACAGUUGCUUGUGCCACCAUUUAUUCUUCAUUAGUCUGUUUUCAUGAUCCAUGUGGCUGCAC